CCUACGGGAGGCAGCAGUGGGGAAUAUUGCACAAUGGGGGAAACCCUGAUGCAGCGACGCCGCGUGAGUGAAGAAGUAUUUCGGUACGUAAAGCUCUAUCAGCAGGGAAGAAAAUGACGGUACCUGACUAAGAAGCCCCGGCUAACUACGUGCAAGCAGCCGCGGUAAUACGUAGGGGGCAAGCGUUAUCCGGAUUUACUGGGUGUAAAGGGAGCGUAGACGGCAGCGCAAGUCUGGAGUGAAAUCCCAUGGCUUAACCAUGGAACUGCUUUGGAAACUGUGCAGCUAGAGUGCAGGAGAGGUAAGCGGAAUUCCUAGUGUAGCGGUGAAAUGCGUAGAUAUUAGGCGGAACACCAGUGGCGAAGGCGGCUUACUGGACUGUAACUGACGUUGAGGCUCGAAAGCGUGGGGAGCAAACAGGAUUAGAUACCCUUGUAGUC
rnacentral:rRNA from 1 species